CUUCCAGCAACAGCCUCCAGAUUCUCUCUGUUUGCCCGUAAUGAUGUGUCAAUACAGUUCAAGAGAGCAGCUGUGUGCUCUUUCAUCAUUCUGUCUAACCUGUCAACUCCAUAACCACCAAAAACAGGGACAAAAGCUUUCAAUUCCCUGAGAUCCGUCACUGACUCAGCAAAAUAUCCGCCAACUGGCCUUGUGCUCUUGAAGCAUCUGUGCUGAGGUGCAAAGAGGAUACCUGCGCCUGAGACGUCCUUGACCACGUUUUCAAUGUACCAGUUACAUACAGUUUCAGUAGCUGAUCCUGUAUGCUGCUCUACAGCUUUCUCAAACAAGUGUAAAGAUGAAACUGGACCACAGAAUGCCUCCGUAAGUAAUAUCUCUCGGAUACCUUGCGUCAGGUCCAUGCUAAUGUGUUGUUCUGCUAGAUGAACAAUAGCUGUAUGUCUGCGUAUCAGUCGGACAAAGGCUUUCAAUUCCCUGAGAUCCGUCACUGACUCAGCAAAAUAUCCGCCAACUGGCCUCGUGCUCUUGAAGCAUCUGUGCCGAGGCGCAAAGAGGACACCGGCACCUGAGACGUCCUUGACCACAUUUUCAAUGUACCAGUUACAUACAGUUUCAGUAGCUGAUCCUGUAUGCUGCUCUGCAGCUUUCUCAAACAAGUGUAAAGAUGAAACUGGACCACAGAAU
rnacentral:lncRNA from 1 species